rfam:Eimeria necatrix Houghton genomic scaffold, Enh_scaff51
GCGUUUGUGGUCUAGUGGCAGAAUACCUCGUUGCCAUCGAGGUGACCCGGGUUCGAUUCCCGGCAGACGCA